AGAAAUCAAGUGAUAGAAAAAGUUCUCCCUCCUUGUGCAGUGGCUUUAUGUUUGAAUUCUUUAUAAUCAAUGUAAAUCUUUUUAAAAAGAGUUGUUAAAUUGAAAGGACAAUAGGAAGGAAGGGAGGGAGGGAAGGAGAGAGGGAGAAGGGAGAGGGAGGGAGGAAGGAGGGAAGGGAAGGAAGGGAAGGAGGGAGGGGGGGACAUAUAUUAAAACUGGUGAAUCCCAGGCGGUAGAAAUGUGAAUACAGUCUUCUGUUAAACUGAGACUCUCGAGACUGGGGAAAUCUCUGAAACACAAGGUCCACCAAGCUCUUAACAAUCCAGCCAGAAAAUGACCAAGUUCUGGAGCAAGUUCCCUCAAUGACCAGCCAGCAGGGCUAGAUAAUCCAGGAGGCCUACAGCCAGGAGCAUUUUUAUAGCAAAACACUGGAGAAGAAAAGUGUUUGUACCACCACUCCGGCUCCAUUGUGAUUUCUAAGUUAAAGAGUUACGUGCCAGGGUCUCACUAUGUAGCCCAGAUUGGCCUUGAACUUGCAGCCCUCUGGCCUCCCCUCCAGUGUCCCUGGAAUUACAGGUGUGCACCACUAGACCACCUUGAUUUACAUUUUAAGAACACCACUCUGUGGUGUGUAUAGAAUGGAUUGUAAGAAGGUGAUAGUGGGCAGAGGAAGACCAUUUGGAAUCCUCACACAGGACUGUCAGUGAGGGUUAGUAGUACUGAUAAAGGUGAAAGAAGAAAGAAAUUCUGGAAUAUGUGAUUUAUGGAGGGUAUGUGUAGGCACUGCUCCCUGGGUCCUUGCUGUUUCUUCAUGUCUCUUGGAGAGACUAUGUUUUCUGGGUAAUAACCCCCUGCAGCAGAAACAAUCUUGGAAGAUGGAGGCCGUGUCUGCCUGGGGCCAAGGGGAGACAUGUUGAAGGACCUUUGUAAGACUUGUGUUCCUCAGUUCAAGGUUCUUUGUCAGUGAAAGUGUCAUGACCCUCUCUUCACACUGUCCUGUGAGAACUGGAGCUAGAGGAUGUUACAGCUGAUACUGAGGCUGGAGCUGCUGAGGAAUAAACAACGUCAUCUUCAACUCUAAGGUCUUUCUUCCGUCUUCUGCAUUCACAAAAUUGAGAACGCCCACCUUGGGAACUUGCAGGUGGAAGCUAAGAGUGUUCAGAGUUCUUGGCAAGAGCCUUAGACUCUCUGAUGGAGGGGGUGGUGAGUACGAGAAACCCAAGAAGACAUG
rnacentral:lncRNA from 1 species